rnacentral:rRNA from 1 species
GKRAGAACUGGCUUCAGGUUSGGGACAACAGKUGGAAACGACUGCUAAUWCCGGAUGUGCCUACGGGUGAAAGGCUUGCUGCCUGAAGAAGAGCUUGCGUCCGAUUAGCUAGUUGGUAAGGUAAAGGCUUACCAAGGCAUCGAUCGGUAGCUGGUCUGARAGGAUGACCAGCCACACUGGGACUGARACAAGGCCCASACUCCUACGGGAGGCAGCAGUGGGGAAUUUUCCGCAAUGGGCGAAAGCCUGACGGARCAAUACCGCGUGAGGGAAGAAGGCUCUUGGGUUGUAAACCUCUUUUCUCAGGGAAUAAAAAAAUGAAGGKACCUGAGGAAUAARCAUCGGCUAACUCCGKGCCRGCMKCCGCGGUAAUACGGARGAUGCRAGCGUUAUCCGGAAUGAUUGGGCGUAAAGCGUCCGCAGGKGGUACAACAAGUCUAGUGUCAAAGACCGGGGCUCAACCCCGGAAAGGCGGUGGAAACUGUUGAACUAGAGGGUCGUAGGGGUAGAGGGAAUUCCCAGUGUAGCGGUGAAAUGCGUAGAGAUUGGRAAGAACAUCGGUGGCGAAGGCGCUCUACUGGACGGCAACUGACACUCAGGGACGAAAGCUAGGGGAGCGAAUGGGAUUAGAUACCCCA